rnacentral:rRNA from 1 species
UGGUCAAGUUAUUAAGGGUGCAGGGCGGAUGCCUUGGCACUAGGAGCCGAUGAAGGACGUGAUAAGCUGCGAUAAGCUUCGGGGAGUUGCACGUAAACUUUGAUCCGAAGAUUUCCGAAUGAGGAAACUCACUUAGAGUAAUGUCUAAGUAUCAUUAAGUGAAUACAUAGCUUAAUGAGGGGAACUCAGGGAACUGAAACAUCUAAGUACCUGAAGGAAGAGAAAGAAAUUCGAUUCCGUAAGUAGCGGCGAGCGAACGCGGAUUAGCCCAAACCAAUAAAGUUUUCUUUAUUGGGGUUGCGGACAUAUCAUAACGAAGAGGUAUCGUAAUUGAAGAGGUUUGGAAAGACCCACCACAGAAGGUAAUAGUCCUGUAUGUUAAACGAAAAGACUUUAGAUAUGAUCCAGAGUACCACGGGACACGUGAAACCCUGUGGGAAGCAGGAGGGACCACCCUCCAAGGCUAAAUACUACCUAGUGACCGAUAGCGUAUAGUACCGUGAGGGAAAGGUGAAAAGAACCCCGGGAGGGGAGUGAAAUAGAACCUGAAACCCUGCACUUACAAGCUGUGGAAGCACAUUUCUUGUGUGACCGCGUACUUUUUGUAGAACGGGCCAACGAGUUACGUUAAGUAGCAAGGUUAAGCACUUAAGGUGCGGAGCCGUAGCGAAAGCGAGUUUUAACUGAGCGUUCAGUUACUUGACGUAGACCCGAAACCGGGCGACCUACCCAUGAGCAGGAUGAAGCGAAAGUAAAAUUUCGUGGAGGUCCGAACCCACGAGCGUUGAAAAGCUCGGGGAUGACUUGUGGGUAGCGGUGAAAUUCCAAUCGAGCCCGGAGAUAGCUGGUUCUCCCCGAAAUAGCUUUAGGGCUAGCCUCAAGGUGAGAGAUACGGAGGUAGAGCACUGAAUGUCCUAGGGGGUAUUGCACCUACCGAAGACUAUCAAACUCCGAAUGCCGUCAUCUUAUACUUGGGAGUCAGACUGUGGGUGAUAAGAUUCAUAGUCGAAAGGGCAACAGCCCAGAUCGUCAGCUAAGGUCCCUAAAUGUAAGUUAAGUGGUAAAGGAUGUGGGAUUGCACAGACAACCAGGAUGUUGGCUUAGAAGCAGCCACUCAUUCAAAGAGUGCGUAAUAGCUCACUGGUCGAGUGAUCCUGCGCCGAAGAUUUCCGGGGCUAAAACUUACUACCGAAGCUACGGCAUCAGUAAUGAUGGGUAGGGGAGCUUCCCAUACGGGUUGAAGCAUGACCGUAAGGACAUGUGGACAGUAUGGGAGUGAGAAUGUUGGCAUGAGUAGCGAAAUGUGGGUGGGAAUCCCACAGGCCGUAAACCCAAGGUUUCCAGGGGAAGGUUCGUCCGCCCUGGGUUAGUCGGGACCUAAGCUGAGGCCGAAAGGCGUAGGUGAUGGACAACAGGUUGAUAUUCCUGUACUACCGAUAACCGUUUGAGAGAAGGGAUGACACAGUAGGAUAAGCUAAGCACACUGUUGGUUAUGUGUGCCCAAGCAUUGAGGCAGUCAAAGUAGGCAAAUCCGCUUUGAUAAUGCUGGGAUGUGAUGGGGAGCGAAAUUUAGUAGCGAAGUAGCUGAUUUCACACUGUCAAGAAAAGUCUCUAUCGAGGUUAAAGGUACCCGUACCGCAAACCGACACAGGUGGGUGAGGAGAGUAUCCUAAGGCCAGCGAGAGAACUGUUGUUAAGGAACUCGGCAAAAUGACCCCGUAACUUAGGGAUAAGGGGUGCCACCAUCAGGUGGCCGCAGAGAAUAGGCCCAAGCGACUGUUUACCAAAAACAUAGGUUUCUGCUAAGUCGCAAGACGAUGUAUAGGAGCUGACGCCUGCCCGGUGCUGGAAGGUUAAGGGGAUCUGUUAGAGCAAUCGAAGCAGUGAACUUAAGCCCCAGUAAACGGCGGCCGUAACUAUAACGGUCCUAAGGUAGCGAAAUUCCUUGUCGGGUAAGUUCCGACCCGCACGAAAGGCGUAACGAUUUGGGCACUGUCUCAACAACAGACUCGGUGAAAUUGUAAUUCCGGUGAAGAUGCCGGAUACCUGCGACAGGACGGAAAGACCCCAUGGAGCUUUACUGUAGCUUGACAUUGGGUCUUGGUACUACAUGUACAGGAUAGGUGGGAGGCUUUGAAACCAGGACGCCAGUUUUGGCGGAGCCAUCCUUGGGAUACCACCCUUGUAGUACUGGGACUCUAACCAUAGGCCAUGAAUCUGGUCUUGGGACACUGUCAGGUGGGCAGUUUGACUGGGGCGGUCGCCUCCCAAAAGGUAACGGAGGCGCUCAAAGGUUCUCUCAGUACGGUCGGAAAUCGUACGUAGAGUGUAAAGGCAAAAGAGAGCUUGAUUGCAAGACAUACAGGUCGAGCAAGGAUGAAAAUCGGACUUAGUGAUCCGGUGGUUCUGCGUGGAAGGGCCAUCGCUCAACGGAUAAAAGCUACCCUGGGGAUAACAGGCUUAUCUCCCCCAAGAGUCCACAUCGACGGGGAGGUUUGGCACCUCGAUGUCGGCUCAUCACAUCCUGGGGCUGUAGUAGGUCCCAAGGGUUGGGCUGUUCGCCCAUUAAAGUGGUACGCGAGCUGGGUUCAGAACGUCGUGAGACAGUUCGGUCCCUAUCCGUCGCAGGCGUAGGAAAUUUGAGAAGACCUGUCCUUAGUACGAGAGGACCGGGAUGGACGUACCUCUGGUGUACCAGUUGUCCUGCCAAGGGCAUGGCUGGGUAGCUAUGUACGGAAUGGAUAAGCGCUGAAAGCAUCUAAGCGCGAAGCCAACUUCAAGAUAAGAUUUCCCACCGCAAGGGUAAGACCCCAGAAAGACUAUCUGGUUGAUAGGUCGAAGGUGUAAGUGCAGCAAUGUAUUUAGCUUAUCGAUACUAAUAGGUCGAGGACUUGACCAAUAUUUAUU